GUCAGGGUCUGUGGGUGUUGUAUGGAUUCACCCCGUGCUAGGAAGGUAGGGAAGACAAAAUCAAAAGACUGCCAAUGAAGGCUCCUCUCUUCCUCGCUGACUACAGGAGCUUGGGGAAUGAAGAAAGUCCUAAAGAGAGGGAGUCACAUCCAUUUUCUUCUGUCUGCUCUUCAACAGACCUUUAUCAUGCUUCUUUUCACAGAGGGUGGAGUGUUUUUGCACUGGGCAUUCAUCCAAACCAAGCCAUUUCAGGUUCAGGCCAGUUGGAGUAGCUGAAUACAGACACAGAGAUGCUACUUAAGGACAAGAUGAAGUAAUGAGAGAGCAGAGGGAGGAGGAGAUGCAAGAGAGAAGACAAGAAUUUGUUAGAAUAUUUAAAGAGCUCGGUCAUAGACAUCAAGUGCAUCUUGUCCUGGUCUUUCAGUUUGAACAUGAGGAUAAAAUAUGGAAUCACCAGGGUCAGAACAGAGCAAGGGCAAAGGAAGCCAAAACUCAUUAUCAGCAACUAAGUUUCCAAAUACUGAAUAGUUUGUCUGUCCUUGUUAGGCCUGUUUUCUAGAUUUAAAAAUAGCCAAGAUUACUCUUCAAUCAACACUUGCAAAUUAUGAUCUGGCAGUGACCUGUGCGGAGCAUUCUGCAUGUCUGUGCUGUUUGGGUGGUCACAGAUUUACGAGUUUUCCUGAAUGCCUCCUGGAUAGCUGGGAGGAAGGCCACGGUUCUUUUAGGCACAUAAAUAAAUGCCAGUUGUGGUAGUGGCA
rnacentral:lncRNA from 1 species